AUUGAACGCUGGCGGCAGGCCUAACACAUGCAAGUCGAACGAGUGGCGGACGGGUGCGUAAUGUCUGGGAAACUGCACGAUGGCGGGGGAUAACUACUGGAAACAGUAGAUAAUACCGCAUACCAUCAGAUGUGCCCCGAUGGGAUUAGCUAGUUGGUGGGGUAACGGCUCACCUAGGCGACGAUCCCUAGCGGGUCUGAGAGGAUGACCAGCCACACUGGAACUGAGCCACGGUCCAGACUCCUACGGGAGGCAGCAGUGGGGAAUAUUGCACAAUGGGCGCAAGCCUGAUGCAGCCAUGCCGCGUGUAUGAAGAAGGCCUUCGGGUUGUAAAGUACUUUCAGCGAGGAGGCGUUACUCGCAGAAGAAGCACCGGCUAACUCCGUGCCAGCCGCCGCGGUAAUAC
rnacentral:rRNA from 1 species